rnacentral:lncRNA from 1 species
CACUGAGAAAGUACAACGAUUAUACCAUUGAUCUAAACUAAGAAUGCCGAGAAUAAUCAAGUCAAUAAACAUUGGGCAGUUAGAUAGACGUUAAUAUACUGGCAAGUUUGAUGUAUAACUACUAACGUUAGGUAGGUAGCUAACAUACCGGUACAUACUGCUGUAAUGAUAUGCUAUGUGGUUCGUAAGGACAGCGUAGCUACCAAAUUGUCAGCCAACAUAACAUGUAAGGUAACUUAUUUGAAAAGUCAUGACUUUAUUACAUUGAGUAGCAAGCUACCCCCUGGUCGUUAGGGCAAAUCUGGUCUGUGAUAGGAGGGGGGGUUCACACCUAGCUCGGCUAUUAGAUUAUUCUUUAGUAAAGGUUGAAUGGUCUAUAGUUCAGCUAUUAGACCUCCUCCCCAACUUGCAACAAAUUGCUGUUCCAAUCUCAUUCCUUUCCCUCUUCCACGCGUCAUCAUUCUGCUCCUGUGUGACUCGCUUGUGGGCGUGCUGGCAGGAUAUGGCAGCAUAUUCGGUUGUGCGUCAAGAAUUCUGCAUACAGUAGCAUGUUUGUAUGAAGGUGUGGUUAUUCACAGGAAAAUUGUUAUAUUCUAUGGAGGUACAUUUGUGUCUUUUUUUUAUUUUCAAUCAAAAAUAAUUGUUCUGAAAACAAUUUAUUUCUGACACAAAGGAAGUCAGAGCGGACACCUACGAAGAUGGCAUCUCAGUUUUCUUUACAUUCAGAGUGCGAGCUGACCAAGGGGUCGAAAAUGUAGAUAUUGCCAGAUGUUCACUGUUCGAGGAACAGGCCGUGGAAGCUGUAUUGCUGGCAAACGUGUCCAUAACCAGAGGUUAUAUCAGCUGUUUUGGUGAACCCCUCCCGCAUCUGAACUGG